rnacentral:lncRNA from 1 species
UGGGACUCUUAUUUUGAAAACCGGACACAGCUCGUCGAAGAAUGCUUGGAAAAGGUGGAUGUCUGUUUGUUCAGCGGCAUCCUGAGGAUGCAUAAGAGUACAUACUGCUGUGUGAGUGACUGAUGUGAGCCACAUGAGCCUCAGAGCAGAAUAUUCAUGACCCUUCUAAAUAAGAAUCAGCUCCACCAAUUUGAGGAUUGCAAGAACUGAAGUAUGCAAGCUAUAUGUAGAAAUCACAUCAUUUUACUGUACCUCUACCCAGACCAUCAGUACACCCAGGUGGAAGUUGUUGGAUUUAUACGAUUCCCUCGCUGCGUUUACUCCUCCACACCACCAGAGCAGUCAUGAGCAGCGUCACCAGAAUGGGCACCACGAUAAAAGGCCCCAGGAUCCGAUUGGGCGGGUCGUGAAGCAGCCGUCCAGACAGUGAGCAGUCAUGGAAGUAAUGCCUGUGCACCCGGAUGAAGAACUCGUCCACCAUGCGGUUGGGCCAGAAACAGUUCAUCUUUAGAGCCACCAGGAACGUGCAGUUGGUCAGUUCCCCAUACGACCUUUAGGAGGACAAAUUAUAGAAUAAUGUCAAGAGCACAUCUAAAUGAGCAAUGAUAAAGAUGCAUUUAAUGUCAUUCAAAUAUCAAAGUAAAAUAGAUAUCAAAGUACUUUUACUUUUUACUACUCUCAGAAAAAUAAAUUACGAUAAAGCUUAUUGAAGUUGAAGAUUAUUGAAUAACGACAAAGUUUACUGCUUGUACCCUUUUAAAUUUAGUUAAUAUCUCUUUCAUUUUAAUGUACAGUAUGUUGUCAGAUUCAAAUCAAAUACUAUUAGAUUAAAUC